CCGAGGAGGAGGCCGCCUGGGAGACGGCGGAGGAGCCCGACCAGGAGCCUGAGGAGGGCCGGGCGACCACCAAGGGAACAACUAAAUAUCAGUAUGAGAAGUCUGACAAAGAGGCCCACGACUCUGAAAGGGACGAAGAAAAAGACAAGUUCAACAAAAAACAAGAAGGACCCGACUAAAAAAGAUCUGCCCCAACAGAGAACAGGCCCAGAAAAUCCAGUUGGCACAUAAGAAAGAAGAUGAAGAA